rnacentral:ribozyme from 15 species
UUUCAAUAGUAUUUCUACUUGCUUUUCUCUGCUUCUGCUCCUUUCUUGCCUUCAGAAAUCGAGUCAUCUUAGAAAAAGGAAGGCAUAAGAUGCCCAUAAAAAGAUGACCAAAAAAAACAAAGGAGA